rnacentral:rRNA from 1 species
UACGGAGGGGGCUAGCGUUGUUCGGAAUUACUGGGCGUAAAGCGCGUGUAGGCGGUUCCGCAAGUCAGGUGUGAAAGCCCAGGGCUCAACCCUGGAAGUGCACUUGAUACUACGGAGCUUGAGUACUGAAGAGGAGAGCGGAAUUCCCGGUGUAGAGGUGAAAUUCGUAGAUAUCGGGAGGAACACCAGUGGCGAAGGCGGCUCUCUGGGCAGAUACUGACGCUGAGACGCGAAAGCCAGGGGAGCAAAGCGG